rnacentral:rRNA from 1 species
GAGUUACAUCAUGGCUCAGAUUGAACGCUGGCGGCAGGCCUAACACAUGCAAGUCGAGCGAGAAAGCACUUCGGUGUGAGUAGAGCGGCGGACGGGUGAGUAACGCGUAGGAAUUUGCCCAGUAGUGGGGGACAACAUGUGGAAACGCAUGCUAAUACCGCAUACGCCCUAUGGGGAAAGCAGGGGAUCUUCGGACCUUGCGCUAUUGGAGAAGCCUGCGUCGGAUUAGCUAGUUGGUGGGGUAAAGGCCCACCAAGGCGACGAUCCGUAGCUGGUCUGAGAGGAUGAUCAGCCACACUGGGACUGAGACACGGCCCAGACUCCUACGGGAGGCAGCAGUGGGGAAUAUUGGACAAUGGGGGCAACCCUGAUCCAGCCAUGCCGCGUGUGUGAAGAAGGCCUUAGGGUUGUAAAGCACUUUCAGUAGGGAGGAAAAGUUAGUCGUUAAUAUCGGCUAACCCUGACGUUACCUACAAGAAGAAGCACCGGCUAACUCUGUGCCAGCAGCCGCGGUAAUACAUAGGGUGCAAGCGUUGUUCGGAAUUACUGGGCGUAAAGCGCGCGUAGGCGGGUUUUUAAGUCGAUUGUGAAAUCCCGGGGCUCAACCCCGGACGUGCAGUCGAAACUGGAAAUCUUGAAUACUUGAGAGGUUGGGGGAAUUCCCGGUGUAGGAGUGAAAUCCGUAGAUAUCGGGAGGAACACCUGAGGCGAAGGCGCCCAACUGGUGAUGUAUUGACGCUGAGGCGCGAAAGCAUGGGGAGCAAACAGGAUUAGAUACCCUGGUAGUCCAUGCCGUAAACGAUGAUUACUAGGUGCUCGAAGAACUAACUCUUUGGGUACCGUAGCUCACGCAUUAAGUAAUCCGCCUGGGGAGUACGGUCGCAAGGCUAAAACUCAAAGGAAUUGACGGGGGCCCGCACAAGCGGUGGAGUAUGUGGUUUAAUUCGAAGCAACGCGCAGAACCUUACCUGGCCUUGACAUUCUAGGACAACCCCAGAGAUGGGGCUUUCACUUCGGUGACCUAGGGACAGAUGCUGCAUGGCUGUCGUCAGCUCGUGUCGUAAGAUGUUCGGUUAAGUCCGGCAACGAGCGCAACCCUUAUCUUUAGUUGCCAUCAUUAAGUUGGGCACUCUGGAGAGACUGCCGGUGUUAAACCGGAGGAAGGCGGGGAUGACGUCAAGUCCUCAUGGCUCUUACGGCCAGGGCUACACACGUACUACAAUGGCAAAGACAAAGGGCAGCGAAAUCGCGAGAUGGAGCCAAUCCCAAAAACAUUGUCUCAGUCCGGAUUGGAGUCUGCAACUCGACUCCAUGAAGCUGGAAUCGCUAGUAAUCGAAGAUCAGCACGCUUCGGUGAAUACGUUCCCGGGCCUUGUACACACCGCCCGUCACACCACGAAAGUGGUCAUACCCAGAAGCAGGUGAGCUAACUUCGGAGGCAGCCUACCAAGGGUGUGGCCGUGAUUGGGGUGAAGUCGUAACAAGG